GACGUAGGAGGCGAGCGUUGUCCGGAUUCAUUGGGCGUAAAGAGCACGCAGGCGGUUUGGCAAGUCGGAUGUGAAAGUCGGGGGCUCAACCCUCGAAAGCCGGUGGAUACUGUCGGGCUAGAGUACGGAAGAGGCGAGUGGAAUUCCUGGUGUAGCGGUGAAAUGCGCAGAUAUCAGGAGGAACACCAAUUGCGAAGGCAGCUCGCUGGGACGUUACUGACGCUGAGACGCGAAAGCGUGGGGAGCAAACAGG
rnacentral:rRNA from 1 species